ensembl:lncRNA
UUCAGACUCUUCUGGAGAUGGUGCAAAGAAGCAGAAUGCAGUAGAUCAGAAGUUCUCAAAUUUUAGGGCGUGGAGUCAUCCGAAAUGCUUAUGAAAACAUAGAUUGCUGGCCCCACCCAAUAAUUUUUGAUCCCAAAUUUUAAAAUUCAGAUUUUUCUGAAUUUUCUGAGCUUUUGUCCUGGAGAAAAGUUUGAUCGCUUCUAGCUGCCAGGCUCUGCAGGAUGUUGCUCUCUCUCUCCAGACCUAGGACCGUUCCUCUGCUUUCCCCACAAGGGCCUGUGAGCAGAUGAGCUGGCACCCUGGGGAGCCGGCAAAGGGGCAGAGGCUGAGCAACGGGGAGAGGUUCAUGAAGAAGGAACUGUUGGCUGCCUGCUCAGGAUGAACUUUCUACAGCUGAAAAGGAAACCAGUGUCAACUAUCUGGUAUUGAUUUCAUCUGUUUGGUAUCGUCUUCUGGAUUCUGAGGCAAAUGCCUAUUGAAUUUCUGCUGCUGAUUGCUGGAGCAGUCUUCAGAUAGCUGAUGUCUUUGUGGUUGGACCUCUCGGUCCCAGCAUCAUCCGCAUGUGCUGUGGAAGAGCGUCUCUUACUUGAAGCAGAUUAGAGAGAGAACCUACACAGCUUUUUCUGAAAGGUGAUCUUGCCUGAGAGAAAUGAUAAUGACCGAGAUAAAACACCUCUCUCGAAUCUCCUGUGGGCCCUCAGCGCAUUUUUAUCCUAAUUACAGACGUCCGAGAGAGCCUUUCCAGAAGGAGCAGAUUCUAACCGGAGCUCCAUAUGGAACACAUUGACAGUUACCAUCCAGCUGAGAAAUACGUCAUGGGGCCUAAGAGACCUGUGGCCGUGGUAUUUGGUAGACCGGCCUGGCUUGACCCAAAACACAAAAUGCGCAUCACUGAGGCUCCAUGUGUGGGAAUAUUUGGACUUUGUGGCCAUUGGAAUGUGUGACCAAAUCUAGCCUUCUCAGGGUUCUGCAGGUGAAGCAGAACUCUUACUCAUCUUCUGCCCAUCACGUAUCCUGUGAGACAACAUUCAACUUCUAAUGCCAUCCACGAGGUCAGACUUGCAGAUGGAGCAGACUAAGAAGACGUGAGAACUAAAUGCAAUUUGGGAUUCUGGAUUGGAUCCUGGAACAGAAAAAAGAUAUUAGUGGAAAAACUGAUGAAAAUCAAAUAAGACCUUUCGGUUAAUCGUAUCUUACCAAUGUAAAUUUCCUGAUUUUGACCAUUGUAUUACAGACCAGAUGUAAGUGUCAAGAACAGGGGUCUUCAUCUGUUCACCGCAGUGUCCCCAACUUCUAGAAGAGAACCCUUGCUGGUGGAGCUUUCAGGGAGCAGACACUGAGGCAGCCUGCUUUUCAGAACAGGCCCUUCGGAUCAACACCUGUGGAAGGAAAGAGGCAGAGGUGACAUCAAGCAGAGGGAGGAGUUGAGCUGCAAAGCUGGCCUGGCUGCCUUAGCUCUUGAAGUAAAAUGGCCUGUUGGAGUCAUCCCAGGUGGGACCAGAAUGGCUGGGCCUUUACACCUGUCUGCAUCAGUCAUGAGAUGACGCAUCCUGGGUGAGGUGGCUCUGCAUCUGAAGCCAUCCCUGCAGGGGCUGACAGCUGGAGGCAAGUCCUUUCCUGUAGGGGUGUCUUGGUGACAUAGCUGUGCCCAUCACAGGUGCCUGGCUUGUAGUUAGCAUUUAAAAAAUAUUUAAGUGGCUAAGUCUUUCCGUAUAUCCUGAACAUUUU